rnacentral:rRNA from 1 species
UACGUAGGGUCCGAGCGUUGUCCGGAAUUACUGGGCGUAAAGAGCUCGUAGGUGGUUUGUCGCGUUGUUCGUGAAAACUCACAGCUCAACUGUGGGCGUGCGGGCGAUACGGGCAGACUAGAGUACUGUAGGGGAGACUGGAAUUCCUGGUGUAGCGGUGAAAUGCGCAGAUAUCAGGAGGAACACCGGUGGCGAAGGCGGCAUUCUGGACUGUAACUGACACUGAGGAACGAAAGCCAGGGGAGCAAACGGG